UACGGGGGGAGCAAGCGUUGUUCGGAUUUACUGGGCGUAAAGGGCGCGUAGGCGGUCGUGACAAGUCACUUGUGAAAUCUCCGGGCUUAACUCGGAACGGUCAAGUGAUACUGUCGGACUAGAGUACAGAAGGGGCAACUGGAAUUCUCGGUGUAGCGGUGAAAUGCGUAGAUAUCAGGAAGAACACCCGUGGCGAAGGCGGCUCUCUGGGACGGUACUGACGCUGAGACGCGAAAGCGUGGGGAGCGAACAGG
rnacentral:rRNA from 1 species